CACUGUCAUGUUCAGAAGCCUUCAGAAUAAUCUCUGACCCUCUCAAGGAAUCCAUUCUCUCAAGGCACACACCGUUCCUGUCAGAGAGGCUAUCUUCCUAGUGCUAAAUGAUUUUUUGAUGCACUGAAAAAUAAAUUCACACCCAAAGACUUUUCUGCAUUUGAGGAGAUUUUUGUGUACCCUGAGAUCUGUCAAAAGAGGUACAUUGAAGAGAAGGUAGCUGUGGGACCAUUUGCAAGGGAGAGCAUUGACUGGACGCCUAUCAAUUCUGGAGUGAAAGCUUAAAAAGUUGGUCAUCCUUUGACGGCGGGCACAAGGAAAAAAUAAAAUAUUUCUCCUUCAGGAACACACAGUGACAUAAGAGAAACAAACCUGCUGAUGACUGACCGUGCUGGGAGUUGGACCAAGAUGCGGAAGCAAACAGAACCUUAAUAAAAUGUAACAGUGUCUCACGCCUACAAUCCCAGCACGUUCAGAGGCCAAGGCGGGAAGAUUCCUUGAGCUCAGGAGUUCGAGACUAGCCUGGACAACACAACAAGACCUCGUAUCUAU